rnacentral:rRNA from 2 species
UGUCGUCAGCUCGUGUUGUGAAAUGUUGGGUUAAGUCCCGCAACGAGCGCAACCCUUAUCCUUUGUUGCCAGCGAUUAGGUCGGGAACUCAAAGGAGACUGCCAGUGAUAAACUGGAGGAAGGUGGGGAUGACGUCAAGUCAUCAUGGCCCUUACGACCAGGGCUACACACGUGCUACAAUGGCGCAUACAAAGAGAAGCGACCUCGCGAGAGCAAGCGGACCUCAUAAAGUGCGUCGUAGUCCGGAUUGGAGUCUGCAACUCGACUCCAUGAAGUCGGAAUCGCUAGUAAUCGUGGAUCAGAAUGCCACGGUGAAUACGUUCCCGGGCCUUGUACACACCGCCCGUCACACCAUGGGAGUGGGUUGCAAAAGAAGUAGGUAGCUUAACCUUCGGGAGGGCGCUUACCACUUUGUGAUUCAUGACUGGGGUGAAGUCGUAACAAGGUAACCGUAGGGGAACCUGCGGUUGGAUCACCUCCUUACCUGAAAGAAGC